rnacentral:rRNA from 1 species
UUCCUACGGGGGGCAGCAGUGGGGAAUAUUGCACAAUGGGGGAAACCCUGAUGCAGCGAUGCCGCGUGGAGGAAGAAGGUUUUCGGAUUGUAAACUCCUUUUAUCAGGGACGAUAAUGACGGUACCCUUGGAGGAAGCACCGGCUAACUACGUGCCAGCAGCCGCGGUAAAACGUAGGGUGCAAGCGUUGUCCGGAAUUACUGGGUGUAAAGGGAGCGCAGGCGGACUGUCAAGUUGGGAGUGAAAACUACGGGCUCAACCCGUAACUUGCUUUCAAAACUGGCGGUCUUGAGUGGUGUAGAGGG